rnacentral:rRNA from 1 species
AGCAGCCGCGGUAAUUCCAGCUCCAAUAGCGUAUAUUAAAGUUGUUGCAGUUAAAAAGCUCGUAGUUGAAUUUCGGGAUCAGUGCGCUGGUCGUGCCUUCGGUAUGUACUGGUGUUACUGGUUCCUACCUUCUGACGGACCGUCAUGUCAUUAAUUUGGUGUGGCGGGGAAUCAGGACUGUUACUUUGAAAAAAUUAGAGUGUUUAAAGCAGGCUCGCGCUUGAAUACAUUAGCAUGGAAUAAUGAAAUAGGACGUUCGAUCCUAUUUUGUUGGUUUCUAGGAUUGACGUAAUGAUUAAUAGGGAUAGUUGGGGGGCAUUAGUAUUCAAUUGUCAGAGGUGAAAUUCUUGGAUUUAUUGAAGACUAACUACUGCGAAAGCAUUUGCCAAGGAUGUUUUCAUUAAUCAAGAACGAAAGUUAGGGGAUCGAAGACGAUCAGAUACCGUCGUAGUCUUAACCAUAAACUAUGCCGACUAGGGAUCGGAUGAUGUUAAUUUUUAUGACUCAUUCGGCGCCUUAA